rnacentral:lncRNA from 1 species
GUGGGGUUCUGGAAAUAAUCUCCUACUGUUGUUGCAUCAACAAGAAGCGUUGUCAAUUUAUACUGUCCUAGAAGAUUUACCUGUUUGAAAACUUGAGGACUUGGAGAAUGCGAUGUUGGCUUGAAGGACAUGAUGUUUAUGUAACUGGAUGCUAGCAGCUUGUGGGUCUGAGCCUUUCUUUUGGAAUUGCAAGUCAUUAGAGAAUUCAACAUAGAAAGCUACCUGUAGUCCUGUACGCACAAGAUGCCCCCCAGUGUCUGACCAGCCAACCUCAAUAGUGGAAAUACAAGGCAAAAAAGUAGUGAAUAGUCUUGACCGGUCAAGCU